rnacentral:rRNA from 1 species
UACAGAGGGUGCGAGCGUUAAUCGGAAUUACUGGGCGUAAAGCGCACGUAGGCGGCUUGGUAUGUCGGGUGUGAAAUUCCCGGGCUCAACCUGGGAACUGCAUCCGAAACUGCCUUGCUAGAGUAUGGGAGAGGGAAGUGGAAUUUCCGGUGUAGCGGUGAAAUGCGUAGAUAUCGGAAGGAACAUCAGUGGCGAAGGCGACUUCCUGGACCAAUACUGACGCUCAGGUGCGAAAGCGUGGGGAGCAAACAGG